GUCCCACCUUAGGCGCCUAAUACAUGCAAGUCGAACGAACUCUGGUAUUGAUUGGUGCUUGCAUCAUGAUUUACAUUUGAGUGAGUGGCGAACUGGUGAGUAACACGUGGGAAACCUGCCCAGAAGCGGGGUGAUAACACCUGGAAUACAGAUGCUAAUACCGACAUAAUGCAGACGAGUUGGACCGCAUGGUCCGAGCUUGAAAGAUGGCUUCGGCUAUCACUUUUGGAUGGUCCCGCGGCGUAUUAGCUAGAUGGUGGGGUAACGGCUCACCAUGGCAAUGAUACGUAGCCGACCUGAGAGGGUAAUCGGCCACAUUGGGACUGACGACACGGCCCAAACUCCUACGGGAGGUCAGCAGUAGGGAAUCUUCCACAAUGGACGAAAGUCAUGAUGGAGCAACGCCGCGUGAGUGAAGAAGGGUUUCGGCUCGUAAAACUCUGUUGUUAAAGAAGAACAUAUCUCGAGAGUAACUGUUGACAGGUAUUGACGACCUGUAUUUAAGUCCACGAAAGCCACGGCUAAUCUACGUGCCAGCAGCCGCGGUAAUACGUCAGGACCUGGCAAGCGUUGUCCGGAUUUAUUGGGCGUAAAGCGCAUGCGCAGGCGGUUUUUUAAGUCUGAUGUGAAAGCCUUCGAGCUUCAACCUUGAAGAAGUGCUCCCCAUGCGGAAACUGGGAAAUGCUUGAGCUGCAGAAGAGGACAGUGGAAACCCUCCAUGUGUUAGCGGUGAAAUGCGUAGAUAUAUGGAAUGAACUACCAGUGGAUCGAAGGCGGCUGUCUGGUCUGUAUACUGACGCUGAGGCUCAGAUUCAGUAUGGGUAGCAAACAGCCGACUUAGAUACCCUGGUAGUCCAUACCGUAAAUCGAUGAAUUUCACCGCUAAGUGUUGGAGGGUUUCCGCCCUUCAGUGCUGCAGCUAACG
rnacentral:rRNA from 2 species